rnacentral:rRNA from 1 species
UACAGAGGGGGCAAGCGUUGUUCGGAAUUACUGGGCGUAAAGGGCGCGUAGGCGGCCCGCUAAGUCGAACGUGAAAUCCCCGAGCUCAACUCGGGAACUGCGUCCGAUACUGGCGGGCUUGAAUCCGGGAGAGGGAUGCGGAAUUCCGGGUGUAGCGGUGAAAUGCGUAGAUAUCCGGAGGAACACCGGUGGCGAAGGCGGCUUCCUGGACCGACACUGACGCUGAGGCGCGAAAGCCAGGGGAGCAAACGGG